GAAUAAAAGAAUUUUAGACUUUAUAAUUCUUCACAUGAAUAAUCUCUAUAAAGUGGCCGAAAGUACAACUUUUUGAUUUUAUUUCAUCUCUAAGAAUAUCACUUUAAAAUAUUGUUUAUUAAAACUAAACACUCUAAAAUCCAUACCCACUCUGUUGUGCUGUCUUCUGCAAAAGAAACUUAAGAAUUUGGGCUUGGAACCAUUUGGAAUCCCAUCAUCUGCACUUAUUAGCUGUAUAACAUUGGCCAUAUUAUUUAACCAUGAUGAGCUUAACUUUGCUCUUUCUUUAGUGGAAGUGAUUGGUUUUUUUGUUUUUUGAGGAUAAGUUAGAUACUGCAUGUGGUAAGUGCUUAAUGAGUUGCAGUAAUGCUGAGGCUCUAAUAACAUUUUAUUUUUUUAUUUUUAUUUUGCUUUCAUAACAUUUUAAAAUGCCAUUGCUUUUGGUUUUGUAUCUCUUCUUCUCAAGAGGAACCUAUGCUCUGAUUUAUCUGUACUUAUUUAUAGCUGCUAUUAGAGUAAACAAUGUGACCUUCCUCGACAAAAUUGAGCCCCUGUCCCUAAUGGAACUUUUUAACUUUUAAUCCUCAGCACUGAGUGGUAUCCACUCCUUGUAAUAUGCUGCAGUAAUUAAUUGAAGGGCAAAAUCAUGAUAAUCUUGACAGAUGCAGAAAAUGUACAUGAUGAAAUUCAACAUUCAUUUAUGAUGAAAAAAUGCUCUUAGCAAACCUGUUUAAAACAGACAUUCAAUGAUCUAAUAAUGGAUGUCUACAACAAGCAAAAUGACAAAAUAUUUAGUGAUGAGAUAAUGAGAUUAUUCCCUUCGAAAUUGGGAACAAGAAAGGAUAUUAUCACUCCUAUUCAACAGUUGCUCAAGUUCAUAGUAAUGCAGCAGGCAACACAAAAGACAUGAAAUUGUAUAAAGUUUUGAAACGAAAAUAUAAAAGUAAAUUUUUUUUUUUUUUUUUAGGGCCGCGCCUGCAGCAUACGGAAGUUCCCAGGCUAGGGGUUGAGUCAGAGCUGCAGCUGCUGGCUUACACCACAGCCACAACAAUGUGGGAUCUGAGCCACAUUUGCAACCUAUACCACAGUUCACAGAAACACUGGAUCCUUAACCCACUGAGCAAAACCGGGGAUCAAACCUGCAUCCUCAUGGAUACUAGUCAAGUUCACUGGGACACAAAGGGAUCUCCUGAAAAAUUUUAAAAUCAAUUUCUAAGACAACUUACAGAAUGGGAGAAAAUAGUUGAAAAUGAUGCAACUGACAAGGGCUUAAUCUCUAAAAUAUUCAAACAACUUACAGAACUCAACAGCAAAGAUACCAACAACCCAAUUGAAGAAUGGGCAGAAGACCUGAACAGACAUUUCUCCAAAGAAGAUAUACAGGUGGCUAACAAGCACAUGCAAAAAUGCUCAACAUCACUGAUUAUUAGGGAAAUGCACAUCAAAAUUACUAUGAGGUGUACCACCUCAUGCCAGUCAGAAUGGCCAUCAUUAAUUAGUCCACAAAUAACAAAUGUUGGAGAGAGUGUGGAGAAAAGGGAAUCCUUCUGCGCUGUUGGUGGGAAUGUAAAUUGGUACAACCAGUAUGGAGGUACUUUAGAAAACUAUACAUAGAGCUACCAUAUGACCCAGAUAUCCCACUCUUGGGCAUAUAUCUAGACAGAACUUUCCUUGAAAAAUACACAUGCACCUGUAUGUUUAUUGCAACACUAUUCACAAUAGCCAACACAUAGAAACAACCCAAAUGUCCAUCGACAGAUGACUGGACUAGGAAGAUGUGGUAUAUAUCACAAUGGAAUACUCCUCAGCCAUAAAAAGAACAAAAAUGCCAUAUGCAGCAACAUGGAUGGAACUAGAGACUUUCAUCCUGAGUGAAGUAAGUCAGAAAGAGAAAGACAGAUACCAUAUGAUAUCACUUAUAUCUGGAAUCUAAUAUAAGGCACAAAUGAAUCUUUCCACAGAAAAGAAAAUCAUGGACUUGGAGAAUAGACUUGUGGUUGCCUAGGGGGAAGGGGAGGGAGUGGGAUGGAUUGGGAAUUUGGGGUUAAUAAUAGAUGCAAACUAUUGCCUUUGGAUGAAUAAGCAAUGAUAUCCUGCUGUAUAGCACUGGGAACUAUGUCUAGUCACUUAUGGCGGAGCAUGAUAAUGUGAGAAAAAGGAAUGUUUAUGUGUAUGUGUGACUGGGUCACCUUGCUGCAUAGUAGAAAACUGACAGAACACUGUAAACCAGCUAUAAUGGAAAAAAAUCAUUAAAUAAAAGAAAUAAAGGAAGGGAAAAUAAAAAUAAUAAUAUCAAUUUCUAUACAUCAGAAAGUGUCAGGAAAUUAAAUUUAGCAUAUGCUUUUAUAAUUACAUCAUAAUAUUAAAUAUCUAGUAAUCUGAAUAAAAUGCUGCUAGACUUAUAUACAAAAAUUGCAAUCGCUAAGAGAUAUUAAAUAAAAUCUAAAUCUAAAUUGUGUUAUAAAAUAUAAAUGGAUUGGAAAACUCAAUCUUAUAUCAAUUGUCCAUGAAAUGCUGCAAUCUAAACUCAACAAUUUUUAAAAAUUUGGUGAGCUGAUUGUAAAGUUUACAAGGAAAUGUGAAGGACUUAAGAGAGCCAUGAUUUUUUUGAAGAAGAAAUAUGAGAUGAGAGGACUUAUUCUCAGAUGCCAAAAUAUUAUAAAGCUACAAUAAUUAAGGCAGUGUAGUAUGGGUCAUGAAUAGACAAAUAGACCAAUGUAGAUUUGAAAUAAACCGAAGAAAUCAGGAAUCAUCUGCCACAUAUGGGAACAGUUGCCUCUGUGAAACAAAGCUCUGAGAUCUGGCUGGACUCCACUUUGCAUGGGCAGAUGCUUGAUUAUAGGCUCUGGGGGCCAAGGGAAGCUAUAUUAUGAUAUGCUGCACUUAAUUCUGCCUGGUAUGGCCACCUUGCUCCCAUUAAGCUUUAAAGCCUUUGUUAAGAAGCUUAAUUCUGUAGCUCAUCUGACUGUUUCAAAUAUUUUUGGUAUGAGGACAAGCCUGACUAGAAUUGAGACAAAUGCCAAGAUUCUUAAAGAGAGAAAGGGGACCAGAGUAUUCUGUCAAUCUUUUUUUCUUUUACUUUUUAGGGCCAAACCUGCAGCAUAUGGAAGUUUCCAGGCUAGGGGUUGAAUCAGAGCUACAGCUGCCAGCCUAUGCCACAGCCACAGCAACACAGGAUCUGAGCCACGUCUGUGACCUACACCACAGCUCAAGGCAACACCAGAUCCCUGACCCACUGAGCAAGACCAGGGAUCAAACCUGCAUCCUCAUGGAUACUAGUCAGGUUUGUUACCCCUGAGCCACAGCAGGAACUCCUGUUGGGGGCAGUUUUUAUGGGCAAGUCAUAUCAGUUGAAUUGUCUUCUAAACCCGUAUUUUCCAAUGGUAGAGCUUUGGGGAUAAAGAGGAACGAUGUGAUAACAAACAGUAGGUAGAUCCCCAGUAGCUCCCAAUCCUGGUAGCCAAAUGCUAGGAGUAUAAACCAGCCAAGUGGUAAGGAUGAUUAAGGAAGUUGAGAGUGCAAAGGCAGGCAGGGUAUGACAAGUGAAAGUCUCACCUCUGGGAACCUGUCAAGAUAACACUGAGGAAAGAAGAAAGGUCUGAGCUUCUCUCAGGUGCCUGCCAUACUGACAGUGGUGACUUUUCAAUUAGAAAUUAAAUAAAUGCCACAAGUGUGGAUUCAGGAAGAUGAGAGAAUGGAGCUUCCCUGACCCAACUCUCUGUGUGGGAGGGGCUAAAAAUACAGGGGCUGAGUAUAAGCCAAGCACAUUUUUUUGUGUCUAUACUACUGUUUUAAUUCAGAAAAACUCUGUCUUUAUAUGCAGGUUAAUCUUUUUUAUUCUUACAGAUAGCUCUUUCGCCUUGUGAAAAGAGCUAGACCAGACUGUCACUGAAUUACUGUAUGCAGUAUUCUGAGAUGUUUGAGAUUUUUUCUUAAAAAUUUUGUUGAGGUGAUAAGGUCUCAAAUAAUUUUCUACUUGGAAAAGAUACUUUUAAAGUAGAGCAUUAAGGAUGCCUAACAAAGACAUAGAUAAUUUAUUAGUAAAUUAUAAAAAUAUCUUGUACAUGUUUUCUUAAGGAAAAUAUUACCUUGUUGGAUGAGAACUGAGAAAAAGCAGUAGAGAGAAAUAUUCUGGAGAAAAACAAUGGACCUAAAAAGUUUUCCACUAAACAGAAAGUACAGAGGCCAGUGUCAGGUAUAGCUGGAUCCAGAUGCUCUCACAAUAUGACCAGAAAACUAACUGUAUUCAUUUCUGAGCUUCUUGCAUUUUUAUUUUCAUUCUCUAAAAAACUCUUCCCACCUGGUGGUAAAGAUGGACAGAAAUAACUCAAGUCUUUAUUCUAUCAUAUUCACAACUCUAGCAAAAUAAAUACAUCCCUUUUAUGAUUAUAUUAUUAAAAGUCUUUGAAUUGGCUCUGGUUUUCCAGGCCUGCGUGAUUGGGGCUGGGGUCAGUCUAAUCUGAAUCACGUAGACAGAAUUGUGCAAGAGUGCUGUGCUGAUGAACAUUUUUUUCCACUGCAAAAUAAUCACUAAGUGGAAGUGUGAUAAGUAUCUAUUGCUUAGAAAAUAUUUGUCAUGCUUCUAACGUCCCCAGUCUUGCCAAUAUGCCUGCCUGGCUCUUAGAAGACAGUUGGGUUGUCUUCACUAGUGAAGUCUCCCUCCUUUUCAGGUAUACACACUUCCAGAUGGGUAAAGCCCAUGGAACCUGUGGUGUGCCAUAUUUUUUUUCCAUGAAAAUUUUAGUGAUUUAAAACCAGUGGUGUUUUUCAGGUCAUUGUGUUUCCAUUUAAUAAAGUACUUAAUAUGAGAAUUUUAAAGUUGGGGUCAGUACUCCAUAUUUUGGGCCACGUCUAUCCCUCAGCAUUUUUUUAAUGACAUACCUUAAUUUCAAAAGUAAACUCUUCCCCAGUCAUUCAACAUCCAUUUAUUAUGGGCCUGCUAGUUAUGAUCUACUUAGGUACAAGGUUUGUUAAUUAACAUGUAAAUCAGGGUCUCUGUCCACGAUAUCCAGCAUAAUGAAUCUCAUUUACCCCUGUUCAGAUCUGUCUCUUUUCUUUCUACUCUGAGCUUAGAUUUGCCCCCAUGUAAGAAAUUUAAAUUUUUCAACAAAAAUUCAGUAUUUCUUUUUAACUAAAGCUGUUUUGAAGGCACACUCUAGUGAGAGUAGUCUGAUACAAAUGACACUAUUCAUAGUGAACAACUAACAGGUCAGCUGCAGAUUGAGUCAUGUUUUAACAAGUAGAGCAUGUGUGUGAACUCUGACCCCCAGGCAAGGUUUCUGCAACUUAACAAUUAAAAUAGUGAAUGUAAUAAUCUCCUGAAAACUAUUGUACAUGUCAGAAACUCUAACCAAAGUAGUAUUGCCAGGCAAGUUUUCUGCAACUUAACAAUUAAAAUAGUGAAUGUAAUAAUCUCCUGAAAACUAUUGUACAUGUCAGAAACUCUAACCAAAGUAGUAUUGCCAGGCAUUGUUCUUGAAAAAACUUACAAUAAGAGAAAAACAUUUUUUUUCCUGUUAUGCCUCUUUUUUUUCAGGAAGAAGCAAAAGGAAUCUUAAUGAAUUGGAGACAAUUGGAGAUGGUUUAUAAGGAUGAAGUUCAAAGGUUUUUCUUUAGAAGCCAUUGAGUUGGUAGUCUAGGAGAGCACCUUGUAGUGGUAUUUGCAUAAGGAGAAAGAUGUCAAAUAUUCAAAGAUGCCUUUACUCAAAGAGCCAGUGGCACUUAAGUGGCCAAAUAGCUUAUAAGCACUUAUUAAGGUAAGCAAAGCCUCACUCAUUGCUUGUUGUCAGACAUCUGAUUCUAAUUAUGGGAGAGCUAGAUAAACGAUGAUGCUUGGGGUAGAUAGAAGCUGGUAUGCCUUUUCUAAGCUCAUUAGUGCUUACAGCUUGCCAGUUUACACAUACACACACAAGGGGUCUGAAAUAAAGACUAGUUUCUGUGUUGUUUGUGUCUGUAUUCUAGUGAUAAUCUUCUGCAGGGAUAAAUACAGCUUCAGAUGUAACCCUAGAUUAAAAAAGCAAAAAAUAAAAAAAAACCUAGCUUUCAGUUCACAUUUUCUCAAAUCACCCUCCAGCCCUAACCCCUGGAGUAUCACUGGAGCUGUAUUACUGUUAUUUCUCCCUAAAUCACACAAUCCCAUUUCUCUACCGUUUUUUGCUUUCCCUAACUGCACUCUAACCCCUGCCACAACAAGAUCAAAAACAACAUCAAGGAAAACCCCACAAAGGUUUUGUUUAAAUUCCCUUCUACCUCACUUUCCAUCAAAUAAAUUCCUUAGAAGUCAUAUCAUGAUUAAUAUUGUUAGUUUUCAGUAGAAUCAUUCCACUAAUUUCACAAAAAUAUGAAUCAUAAAGAUAGAAGAUUGAACAUUAUUUAUAUAUUCUUAUUUCUUCUACUUUUUAUGUUAGAAUCCUAAAAAACAAAAAUUGAUUUUUACUAAUGUGUCAUUGCUACAUAUGAAGCAUAUAUGAGAAAAUUUACUUAAAUUUAACUCAGUUUACAGUAGCCUCACCCAGCUUGCUAUUACUAUUAUCUUUCAAUAAUUUUUCUCCCCAGCUGCUAUCAGCUGCUACUUAAACCUAUGUGCUUAAUAAAUAGAGUUGGGGUGAUUUUCAUUUCUAUUUUCUUCUUUUCCAUAUUUUCAAAAAUUUUCAAGAGAUUUUGUGAUACUGAUCACCUCCUUGAACUGGGGAAAUAACCAGGAAAUACAUUCCACGUCUCAUUGCCUCUGAAUAACCACAUGCACAAGCAACCAUCGCUUAAGGAAGACUCAGAAUCCUAGGGACAACAGAUCAUGUGUGGUUACAGGCACCAUUUUAAAGAUCAGGCUAGCUCUGAGUUGCCAUGGCAAACUAUUUGAAAUAGUCUGCUCUACAGAUUCUGCCUGCUGUAUGGGGUUGUUUAUAUAGUCCAGUGUAAAUGAUAUCACUGGGAAACAACUAAGCUCCUAUUACAAUGACUAAAAUCAACAAGCAAUGACUUGCCAACAUAAUACUUGUUUAUUCUCAUCUUGGUAUGUGUUUCGUGGAAUACUCCUUACAAUUACCAUACACUUAAAAGGGGAAAUUUUACUGAAUGUAAAUUUU
rnacentral:lncRNA from 1 species